AAAGGCCUAAACUCCGUACAAUCUGCGCAUGCGAAAGAAACGUCAAAGUUGCAAUGUUAUUAAUUAAAAUGUAGGUUAGGUUAUUGUUUUCAUCACAAGCUGGUAUCUGUUAUAAUGAAUAAACAUAUUCGUAAAUCGUAAUGUACAUUUAAACUCACAGACUUUUGACGUUGUUAUACCAAGAGCCAUGUUUCGCUGCGGCAGUAUAAAAUUCGAAAAGGACAGUAUAAGCCCCAUGUUCACAAAUCGUAACCCAAGACAUUUCAAAUACCUACGAAUUGCUAAUAAACCGGACGGCUACUACGGUGAUAAAACUGGAACGCUCCUACUGGCAUAAAUAUACAAAUUUGCUUUCCUACCGCCUCCAAUAAGACAGCCCGAUUGUAGAUGACAACCGACACAAACAGGCCGUCACGUAACUUCAUUGUUCGUGCAUUACAUCAACGGACCCGACACUCACCGCUAGCACGAAGGAAUGGGCCAUCAAAACCAGGCUGUAUAAGACCAUGCAUCAAGUCGUUGGCGUUUCAGUUCUUCGUACAAAGAUACCUUGCAAGCGGUCCGACAGAGUUUAUGUGCGAUUGCAAACCCGAACACAACGGCAGUAAGGUCACAAAGUUUCUAACGUGCUCCAAGAUUUCAAUUUGAAAUUGUCUGAACCGGAAUAGUCAAGAGAGCCGUGGACGAGAGAAAGAUUACCAAACCCGUGGGAUAUAAUCUGACUUGACAGAUAAUGUGAAUCGAUCUUAAAUUGUGGACCUAUUAGUUUCUGUAAAGAGAAGGCUGAGUAUUGGGUCGCUGCAAUGAAGUGAUAGAAAGCCCUACGUUCAGUCUGUCGAGAUGCUUCCCUGUUUCUAACUCAAAGGUUCUUCCAAAGAAGGUGCUUAUUACUAAUUUCUAAAUUGCAUGAAAAACCGUUUAUUUGAUUUUUUAAGAAGAAGUUAAUGGGUUUCAAGAACAAUAAAUUUGAUAAAUAUGUAAACUUUUUAUUGCUUACCAAUAUUUUAAACAUUAAAUAAUAAUAAAUUACAGAAUAAUAAAAAGGGCACCUUAGUUAUAGUGAAUUGGCAAUUUCAAAUUGAAAUCUUGGAGCACAUUAGAAACUUUGCGACCUUACUGACGUUGUGUUCGGGUUUGCAAUCGCACAUAAACUCUGUCGGACCGUUUGCAAGGCAUCUUUGUACUAAGAACUGAAACCUACAAGUAGCAAACAUUAAAUUGAAUGCAGGGACGUUCACGUACGCCAACGACUUGGUGCAUGGUCUUAUACAGCCGGGUUUUGACGGGCCAUUCCUUCGUGCUAGCGGUGAGUGUCGGGUCCAUUGAUGUAAUGCACAAACAAUAAAGUUAAGUGACGGCCUGUUUGUGUCGGUUGUCAUCUACAAUCGGGCUGUCUUAUUGGAGGCGGUAGGAAAGCAAAUUUGUAUAUU